rnacentral:lncRNA from 1 species
CUUGCUAUAUACAGUACUCCUUUAGACUGAUACGUCAUUAAUUCUGGAUUUGCUAAAUUUAACAAAGAGAAUUAAGGUUAGUUAAGAUAUGGGUUAAUACAACGAAGUUGUUUGUAGCAUUCACUAUAAGACUGGGCCUUGACUAACCCAUAACACGUCAAUCAGUGAAUCACAAUAAAUAAAGCACCUUUUUUUUCAAUACUCAAACUUUUAACUUGCCAAAAAUUAUUCAAGAAAGUUUUGUUGCAUCCAAAUAUAAGACGAGUAGUAGUUAG